UACGUAGGGACCGAGCGUUGUCCGGAAUCAUUGGGCGUAAAGAGCGUGUAGGCGGCCUUUUAAGUCCUGCGUGAAAUCCUGCGGCUCAACCGCAGACGGUCGUGGGAAACUGGAAGGCUAGAGUGCGGGAGAGGAGAGUGGAAUUCCCGGUGUAGCGGUGAAAUGCGCAGAUAUCAGGAAGAACACCCGUGGCGAAGGCGGCUCUCUGGAACGCAACUGACGCUGAGACGCGAAAGCGUGGGGAGCAAACAGG
rnacentral:rRNA from 1 species